AUACGGAGGGUGCAAGCGUUGCUCGGAAUCACUGGGCGUAAAGCGUACGCAGGCGGCGUACUAAGUCGGGUGUGAAAGCCCAGGGCUCAACCCUGGAACUGCAUUCGAAACUGGUACACUUGAGUAUGGGAGAGGUAAGCGGAAUUCCUAGUGUAGAGGUGAAAUUCGUAGAUAUUAGGAGGAACACCAGCGGCGAAGGCGGCUUACUGGCCCAAUACUGACGCUCAUGUACGAAAGCGUGGGGAGCAAACAGGAUUAGAAACCCCUGUAGUCC
rnacentral:rRNA from 1 species